GAGGAACCUGUGGAUGAAGAACUCUACAGACAAAUAGGAAAAGCCUCACACUCACAGGCCCUUGUUCUCAUGGGGGACUUCAACCACCCCGACAUGUGUUGGAGCGAUGGUACAGCCCGGCACAAGCAAUCCAGGAGGUUUCUCGAUUGUGUGGAAGACAACUUCCUUCUGCAAGCAAUAAAGGAGCCAAACAGGAGAGGUGCCCUGCUUGACCUCGCGCUCACCAACAGGGAGGGGCUCGUUGGAAAUGUGGCUCUCCAGGUCAGUGUUGAAGCUCUUCAGCUCAAGCUAUCUUGGUUGCAACUACAGGUGGUGCUGUGAAGAACACCAUUCUGAGCAUGUGACAAGGCCACAAUGUCAGUGACCAUACAUCACACCUCUUUUGGAGAUGCUGUUAAGACUAGCUAAGAUUAAGAAAACUGACUCCAUGGUCAGGGUAACCUCAUGAAAGACAUUGACUGGUUUGCUUUCAAUUGUUGUAGAGAGGAAGCACAGCUGUGUAUGUAAGUCUGGUGGUCCUUGCUAUUGGUAUAAUGAGUAUCUUGCAAAAGCUGGUGGUACAAGAAACCCUAAGAAAACAGAUGUUCAAAGGGCAAAGGUUCCUCAAAAAACACUGUCAGAAGUCUUAGGGCUAGCUAGGUCAUUUGCUUAGUCCUCCUUCUGAACACAGGAUUGAUUCAUAUGAUAUUCCUGGAAGAUGGUUGCCCAGUCUGCGUUUUAAAAUCCCUCUCCACAAUCUUUCUGCCCAAACUGGCUCUGGCUACUGGAAAGGGUUUUUUUCCCAAUGUCUAACCCAAAUUUCCUUUUCUAUAACUUAGUCAUAUAAUUUCUUGUCCUUUUAACAGCAAACAUAAAGUUUAUUUCCUUUCUCAUUACAUAAACCUCAGAAAAUUAGAUUAUCCAUGUCUUUCCUCAGUUUUCAGUCUCAAGACUAUUCUUUCAACCUUUCUCCAGUGGCAUAUUUUCUAAAUUUCUAACGGUUGUUAUCAGUCUUCCCAUGAUUCUCCACAGCUGGUACAAAUGGUGUGGAAUCAAGACUAACACACACUACUUCCCUCUACAGACCCGAGCAUGGAGUUUGCCUUAUUUUCAAUUGUUGCAUUUUUUUUACUAGCGCUCCAGAUAGACUCCGCUGUAGUUCUCAGAUCGUUUUCUGUGUAAUCCUUCCCUGAAGUCUUCACUUCAAGCUCAUCUAUAUGUCACUAGAAAAGAGUUCUGUUCCACCUUUUUAAAUCAUAUUCAGUUGUUAUCAAAUCUCAUUAUUUUCUUACCCACUUUACUUUGGUAUCAUAGUGCAAUGCAGUAAGCUUUCCAGCAAAAGUAUGGCCAUUGUCAAACAUGAAAUGUUUUACCUUACCCCCAUUUCCUUGUGAGAAAAAAAAUACACUUGCUAAUCUUACAAGUAAAUUCAGAAUUCACUGACUUAUAUUAAAGAUAUUGCUUAUAAAGUUUUUGAGUAAGAGUAGUCUUACCUGAGGUGUAGUCUUAAUAAGCUAAGAAUUAGCCCAUCUUCCACAAGUCUUCAAUAGUAUAUAUUCAUUGACUAAGACUGAUGAUUUAGUUUGAAUGCCACAUUAAGGCUACAAGACCCAGUGUCAUAUCAAGGAUUCCCACCAUACUAACAGAAAUGUAGAACUGAAGGCAAAUGUUUGCAGAAAGCAAAUAAAUGGUAUCCAGGCUUGGUAUUAGCUCAAUAAGCCCAAGAAACUUCUUAAGCCAUCUCUACCCUAAUGGUCAUAGCUGGCCUAAGAGGUUUCUCAAGUUUACUGAAAUAAUUAACCUAGCACACGUGGUUUCUGGUGUGCUCAUGCAGUAAAUACAGUGGAGUCCUAGAAAGAAUGCAAGUGACAGAAGGCAAAACAGAAGCAGAUCUUCUGCAUGGUCUCUUCUCCAUCAGCCUCAAGCUGGACCUGUGAAUUUCAUAUGUGUCAGCCAAUGUAUGUGGCCUUUUGAUAAUUGUCUAGGUUUAAUCAGCCUAAAGAUGAUGCAAACCAUCUCCAUCAGACCUAAGAUUUCAUGUGGUGCAGCAAAGCAACAGAAGCAGCAUCAUGUAUCUGAGUGGUUGUAAAGAAUUUAUCUUGGUCUAAGAAAGGAGUCAUACCUUGUACUAACUGAAACCACGGUGAGGACUUGAGAUGUAUGUUGAGGAGGAUGUGCGGAAGAGUAUGGCAGGUUGUAAACAUCUUGUUUCUACUGCAGCGUUUCCCACAUCCAUACCUCUCCAUGGGAGAGAGAGACACCCCUCUUCCAAUAUGGACUUGGGAUUUGGUGAAAAAUCCCUUGGGAACAUGAGCAGGAAUGGCCUUGCUAAGUCAUUGAACUCUAAUAAGGUUUUGCUGACAGGUCUUUUCUGCCUGUCUGCUGCUUGAAGAAGUGUUAUAGAAGAGCUAAGUAACCAGCUUUUCUCCAUAUAGUGAUUCCAAGGACACUGGUAGCCACCAUAAGCAAGGGGAUUUCCUAUGCCAUAAUCUGCUACUAAAUGUACUAUGCUCCACUUUCAAAAUAGAGUGAUGGUAGUGUUGGGAUAUUGGGGUCACAUGUGCAAAGAAUACACCCAAGGGCAGUUUUGUAAGUCACGUUGACAUUUAAAAUUGGAACAAAUGGUAUAGUUGGGAAUCCAGGCAUACUCAUGGGUACACAAGUCUUCCUGCAGCUCUGAAAGAGAAAUAUCGAACUUUAAAGUUACCUGCAAGUUAAGAGCAGUGCCUAUGAAUUUAAUUAUGCGGAGUUUAACUAGAAAUGAGAGGAAAGUUAUUUGGGCCUCUGGAGUAGAGAGGUGUUAAGAGGUGUUAUCUCCUGAGAUAGUUGAGAGACAGGUAAUUUAUUGCCUAGGGAACACACAGAGGGUUUUGGAGGUAGCUGGAAGAGAAAACAGAACAGGGGAAGUAUGCCCUGAAACUGCUAAUGAAUCCAGGGUUUCUAGUGUCUGCUGCAGUUACAUUUCAGUUCCCAGGUGUAUCUUUUGAAGGGAGUUUUUAAUAACAGAAAGGUUUCUGCACCCAAAAGUUAUUAUUUUCCCUCAAGCUGUACAAGAUGGACUAAUGAAAGAUAUUAUCUCUACCUACGCAUCUUCUCAUUUUAACAAACUGGCAGCUCAGUACAGGGAAGUUCAGUGCAUCUGAAUGCCAAACUGUUCAGAAGAAAGCCGGACUUUCCUCUCCUUGUCAGGUUUUUAGUUGUCCAUCUGUAGAUGGCAGGACAGAUAUCUGCUUUGUCCUUUGCUGGUGUGUUUAGGCUCUGAAGCAUAAGAACUGAAAGACUGCUCUUGGCAUAUUAGCCAUAGUGUUUUUCUCCCUAUAUAGAUGCCAGCUACUUGCCUCACGAAGAUUAUGAUUGUGUUUUGCAUGGUUUCUUUGCCUUUUCCUUUUGUCAAGUACUUUCAUGUUCCAUUGGUGGACGAGCAGCCAGUUAGUCUUCUCUACAAUAUUUAAUGAGUCUGGGUAAAAAUACUGCAUUAUAAAUUGCAACCCAAGACACUGUUGUAGAGUAUUUCCUCUUGAAUAACAAUGAAAAAAUUUUGCCUUUUAUUUUGUAAAGUAGGGAAGGAAUGCACAGAACAACUCUCUCCUGCUUCCCCCAAGAAUCAUGCAUCACAAUACACUUUCUACAUUUAUUUUGGCAGUUUAUUAAUGAUAUUAUUUAAUGCACUAGUAAAUGAGUAAAUGGAGUCUUAGCACUCACUGUGCUAUUACACUAAUAUAAAAGUACAUUGUAAUGCUCUGCUACUAAAUCUUUGCUUAAUGAAAAGUUAAGAAAACAUCUGUAUUAGUGAAGUUCAGUGACAUGCUAUUGAGCAUUCUGUAUUCAUCUGUACCAAAUUGUUUAGACAAAUAGGCUAGUAUUCACUACUCAAAGACACACACAUAAAUGUUUAUGAAUCUGUAUUGAAUGUUUACUCAUGUUUCUGUAUCUUGUCAUUAUUGCUACUACUGCCAUUGAGCUCUGUUUUGAAGAAAAGUUAUUUUUUUUUCCUCUAGAUGGGUGGCUGGAGCUUCUGCCAUUUCAGCUUGCACUAGCAGUAGAGAUAGUGGAUCUUCCAGUUCCUUGCUGACCUAUGACUUUUAUUUUCUAUUUACACAUGGUGUCCUUGAUUUUGGGAACUGAUUAAUUUCCUCCACUUUGGAGAAGGCUAGAAGCCCCUCAAUGUAGAAUAAUCCAAACAAGAAUCCACUUUAAAACCUGUGACCUCACAUAGCAAUGCUGAGUGUUUAUAUCCUGGUAGAAUUCAUGCUUCUAAAAUACCUGUGACAGUAUAUUUUUGUGCAGUAAUUUGACUGCAAACUGAGGCUACAUGAUAUCUGGAUGGAUGAGCUUUGAAAACCGCAGCCUGUUAGAACCAUGGGCUUAUUUCCAGCUGCAUUGACUUCUCUGAGAAUUAAUUGCUCUUGAAUGAAGUAGUGCUGUUGAUUUAUUCAACAGAACUCUUCCAUCUGAGUGAGCCCUAGAAUUAUGAGCUAGCUAAAGAGUUCAUUGCUGUUUUCAAAACUAGCAAAGCUGCUCAUUUUGACCUGUUCAUGGAUUGCGUAAGAGUCACAAUUCAGAAUCUGUACACAACAGAACAGAAAGAUCACCUUUUUUUUUCUCCUGUUCUUUAUAAAGAAUAGUUUUUUCAAGCCAGGUUCCUGUAUGCUACCAAUAGAAGGUAUCUGUCCAGAGUGAAGAGUCAUGAAACAUACCAAAUAAAGGAGAGCAAUAGUUCCAGAUCUGCAGAUACCUGCUAUUCUAGCCUUUUAUAUUUAGUUUGAAUAUUCUAUGCAAAAGCUGUCUGGACUGAAUGACACAAGAUUAAAUUUUAAGUCACUAUGUAAUGAACUGUACUGAACUGCACUUUGAAAACUGUCCUUGUCUGCUGACCUACAUAAUGUCAUUAAAGCUUCUAACCCAUA